UACGUAGGGUGCGAGCGUUGUCCGGAAUUAUUGGGCGUAAAGAGCUCGUAGGCGGUCUGUCGCGUCGAUCGUGAAAACUUGGGGCUUAACCCUGAGCUUGCGGUCGAUACGGGCAUGACUGGAGUUCGGCAGGGGAGACUGGAAUUCCUGGUGUAGCGGUGAGAUGCGCAGAUAUCAGGAGGAACACCGGUGGCGAAGGCGGGUCUCUGGGCCGAUACUGACGCUGAGGAGCGAAAGCGUGGGGAGCGAACAUG
rnacentral:rRNA from 1 species